rnacentral:rRNA from 1 species
AGCGAACGCUGGCGGCAGGCCUAAUACAUGCAAGUCGAACGGUCUCUUCGGAGGCAGUGGCGGACGGGUGAGUAACGCGUGGGAACGUGCCCUUUGGUACGGAACAACUGAGGGAAACUUCAGCUAAUACCGUAUGUGCCCUUCGGGGGAAAGAUUUAUCGCCAUUGGAGCGGCCCGCGUUGGAUUAGCUAGUUGGUGGGGUAAUGGCCCACCAAGGCGACGAUCCAUAGCUGGUCUGAGAGGAUGAUCAGCCACACUGGGACUGAGACACGGCCCAGACUCCUACGGGAGGCAGCAGUAGGGAAUCUUGCGCAAUGGGCGAAAGCCUGACGCAGCCAUGCCGCGUGAAUGAUGAAGGUCUUAGGAUGUAAAUUCUUUCACCGGGACGAUAAUGACGGUA